rnacentral:rRNA from 2 species
GAAUGCUGACAUAAGUAACGAUAAAGCGGGUGAAAAGCCCGCUCGCCGGAAGACCAAGGGUUCCUGUCCAACGUUAAUCGGGGCAGGGUGAGUCGACCCCUAAGGCGAGGCCGAAAGGCGUAGUCGAUGGGAAACGGGUUAAUAUUCCCGUACUUGGUGUUACUGCGAAGGGGGGACGGAGAAGGCUAUGUUGGCCGGGCGACGGUUGUCCCGGUUUAAGCGUGUAGGUGUGUGUUCCAGGUAAAUCCGGUUCACUUUAACACUGAGGCGUGACGACGAGGCACUACGGUGCUGAAGCAACAAAUGCCCUGCUUCCAGGAAAAGCCUCUAAGCAUCAGGUAACAUCAAAUCGUACCCCAAACCGACACAGGUGGUCAGGUAGAGAAUACCAAGGCGCUUGAGAGAACUCGGGUGAAGGAACUAGGCAAAAUGGUGCCGUAACUUCGGGAGAAGGCACGCUGACACGUAGGUGAAGUGAUUUACUCAUGGAGCUGAAGUCAGUCGAAGAUACCAGCUGGCUGCAACUGUUUAUUAAAAACACAGCACUGUGCAAACACGAAAGUGGACGUAUACGGUGUGACGCCUGCCCGGUGCCGGAAGGUUAAUUGAUGGGGUCAGCGCAAGCGAAGCUCCUGAUCGAAGCCCCGGUAAACGGCGGCCGUAACUAUAACGGUCCUAAGGUAGCGAAAUUCCUUGUCGGGUAAGUUCCGACCUGCACGAAUGGCGUAAUGAUGGCCAGGCUGUCUCCACCCGAGACUCAGUGAAAUUGAACUCGCUGUGAAGAUGCAGUGUACCCGCGGCAAGACGGAAAGACCCCGUGAACCUUUACUAUAGCUUGACACUGAACAUUGAGCCUUGAUGUGUAGGAUAGGUGGGAGGCUUUGAAGUGUGGACGCCAGUCUGCAUGGAGCCGACCUUGAAAUACCACCCUUUAAUGUUUGAUGUUCUAACGUGGACCCGUUACCCGGGUUGCGGACAGUGUCUGGUGGGUAGUUUGACUGGGGCGGUCUCCUCCUAAAGAGUAACGGAGGAGCACGAAGGUUGGCUAAUCCUGGUCGGACAUCAGGAGGUUAGUGCAAUGGCAUAAGCCAGCUUGACUGCGAGCGUGACGGCGCGAGCAGGUGCGAAAGCAGGUCAUAGUGAUCCGGUGGUUCUGAAUGGAAGGGCCAUCGCUCAACGGAUAAAAGGUACUCCGGGGAUAACAGGCUGAUACCGCCCAAGAGUUCAUAUCGACGGCGGUGUUUGGCACCUCGAUGUCGGCUCAUCACAUCCUGGGGCUGAAGUAGGUCCCAAGGGUAUGGCUGUUCGCCAUUUAAAGUGGUACGCGAGCUGGGUUUAGAACGUCGUGAGACAGUUCGGUCCCUAUCUGCCGUGGGCGCUGGAGAACUGAGGGGGGCUGCUCCUAGUACGAGAGGACCGGAGUGGACGCAUCACUGGUGUUCGGGUUGUCAUGCCAAUGGCACUGCCCGGUAGCUAAAUGCGGAAGAGAUAAGUGCUGAAAGCAUCUAAGCACGAAACUUGCCCCGAGAUGAGUUCUCCCUGAGACUUAGAGUCUCCUGAAGGAACGUUGAAGACGACGACGUUGAUAGGCCG